rnacentral:rRNA from 1 species
GGACCCGCACAAGUAGUGGAGCAUGUGGUUUAAUUCGAAGAUACGCGCAGAACCUUACCAACACUUGACAUGUUCGUCGCGACUCUGAGAGAUCAGAGUUUUCGGUUCGGCCGGACGAAACACAGGUGCUGCAUGGCUGUCGUCAGCUCGUGUCGUGAGAUGUUGGGUUAAGUCCCGCAACGAGCGCAACCCUCACUUUUAGUUGCCAUCAUUAAGUUGGGCACUCUGAAAGAACUGCCAGUGAUAAGCUGGAGGAAGGUGGGGAUGACGUCAAGUCCUCAUGGCCCUUACGUGUUGGGCUACACACGUGCUACAAUGGUAUCUACAACAGGAAGCAAAACUGCGAGGUUAAGCAAAUCCUCAAAGAUACCUCAGUUCGGAUUGCACUCUGCAACUCGAGUGCAUGAAGCUGGAAUUACUAGUAAUCG